rnacentral:rRNA from 1 species
UACGUAGGGUGCGAGCGUUGUCCGGAAUUAUUGGGCGUAAAGAGCUCGUAGGCGGCCUGUCGCGUCGGAUGUGAAAGCCCGGGGCUUAACCCCGGGUCUGCAUUCGAUACGGGCAGGCUAGAGUGUGGUAGGGGAGAUCGGAAUUCCUGGUGUAGCGGUGAAAUGCGCAGAUAUCAGGAGGAACACCAGUGGCGAAGGCGGAUCUCUGGGCCAUUACUGACGCUGAGGAGCGAAAGCGUGGGGAGCGAACAGG